AGGGCAAGCUCAGAGCAGGGGCCUGAAGAGUGGCUCCUCUUUAUAACACACUCAAUAGGAACCUGGACACAUUGUGAGGAUGGGCACAAAAUGUAUUUAUUGCCUUUCUAUAAACAAGUGCCCUACAUGU
rnacentral:snoRNA from 1 species